rnacentral:lncRNA from 1 species
UGCCGUGGAAGCCCGAAUAGAGACUGCUUAUUGUAGAAGCUCGACUGAAGUUCGGAAGGCGGUCGACCACUAUAGAAACUUGGAUGGAGUCUAGUUACUGUAGAAAUCUAGCUGCUGGAGUCCUUCCGUUGUAGAAGUUCGUCUGAAAUCCAUCUGCUGUAGAAGUUUGGAUGGAGUCCGAUUCUUGCAGAAGUUCGGAAGGAGGCCGCAUACUGUAGAAGCUCGGAUGGAGAUCGAUUGCCAUGGA